CUUUUAUAUAUAAAAUUCAAUAUGCUUUAAUUUCAGGGUAGAGAUUUUUGAAAGCAGCUAAAUGUAAAAGUGUUAGUAAUAGAAAAAUCAUGUUUUAAAGUGAAGCAGUCGUUCAUCAUCUACCAGAAAUCUUUUUCUCUUUGCAAUCUUAAGUCCAUCGAAGUUUUGAAAAGAAUUCGAUCCUGGCUCAGGAUGAACGCUGGCGGCAUGCUUAAAACAUGCAAGUCGGACGAGAAGUGGUUUUUAAGAGCGCGAAUGAGGUAAAUGCAAAGCAGCCAAUUAAUUCUUUACUUAUGUACAAUUGGUUAUUAAAUUUUUAGGUUCUGCAUGAGUUCAUAAUA